UCCACGACUGCUUCCUCUCUUCUUAUUAUUCUUCUUUCUUCUUCCUUCUACUUCUUCUCUGUUCUUCAUUUCUUCUUUCUUUCUUUUCUCUUCAAUGAAUGAGAGAGUGAGAUCAUGAGAUUGAGAGAGUGGAGAGACAGAGAGAUGAGACCGAGUGAGAGUCGAGAGAUUGAAGGAGAGAUCGAAGCCCGAUCCACCGGUGGAUGACGCGGGUGAAGCUACGAUGGCCGAUCUUCUAGGUGCGAUUUCCGGUGAGUUUUCCGGCGGUCCCAGUAGCGAUUUCCGGCGAGCUCAUUGACCCAAGAACCCAUGGAAACCCGAAAUCCAUUGAACCCGAGAGAGAGAGCCGUGACCCGAACGACCCAAAGACCCGAUCCUCUAUGGGCGUUUUUCGAUGGCGACUUGAUUCCCGGUGGCCAGAAGUCGAUUUCCGGCGACCUAAGGAGCUCCGGCGGAACCCAGGAGCCGAACCACGAAGACCUGUGGCCUAGACCCGCGACCCGCAGAACCCGUGAGGAAGACCCGAUUCUUCAUGGCGUUUUCCGGCGGCUUUUCCGAUGGAACUAGUGAGCGAAUUCUGAUGGAUUCUCUGUGAAAAUUCCCAAGGAUUGUGUUGUAAUUGGAGACUUCAAUGGGUUCUCCAAAGUAGAGUUCGAGUAAUUGGAAUCCAGUGGGAGUUCGAGUCAGGAGUCUAAUGCAGCCAAGAUGAUGUUUCUUUGGCUGCAGGUACUUCGGUAUAGUCGAGUCGGUAGCAGUAUGCUUGGGAUAUUAUGACUGAAGCUCGCCGCGACAGUUGUAAUUGUCGGACCACGGGUUGUCCACUAUUUCAUAGGUUUGGUAUGGCUUAUGACGUUUGUGUCACUUAUUCUUUGUUAAGCCAUUAUUGUUAUGUAAAUAUUGUGUUAAUAAGACUCAAACAGAUAGAUGUUAAAUGGCUCAAUGCUGUAAUUAAUUUGUGAUAGAUGUAUGAGUUGUAAUUUUCGCUAUUUA